CCUCCCACGACGCGCACCGAGCUAGCGGCGGAGGCUGUCCGGAGGAGGUGUGGACCGACCCUCCUGCUACAGACACGCGACCAGGAGCUCGGUCUCCGCAGCCCGACAGGCGUGGGAGCCACGAUCCCCUCUGCGUUCUCAAGUGGGCAACACCCCCUCCUGCCACACGCGCCAGGCCCGCGGCCCCCGCUGCCCUUCGCAACUCCGUACAGCUCCACCUAAACGCCAGGAUCAGACCUCCUUGCAAGACCCUGGGAUUGUCAGGCGUGUGAUACCUGUUUUAACGCGCUGAGUGGAGUCACCUCUACAUCCAGGCAUGUGCAAGAACACCUCCGAUCGACAGACGUACAACCCACAGUCACCGCUGCCCGGUGGAAGUUUCUAAUACAGCUACAACCACACGCACCCAUCCCGUGGAGGGAGCCGGGCUGCUGAAUAACACCUAAAACACACCAAGACCGGGAAGCAUAUAGUAACACCACCUGCACAGCUCGGCACAAGGGAGGAUCCCUGACCAGGGAUUGAACCCGGGGCCCCAGCACUGGAAGCAUGGAGUCCUAACCACUGGACCACCAGGGAAUUCCCCAUGAGCUAUCUGUUUGGAUUGUAAUAAGAAGGCAAAGAGCUCCAGAAAAAAAGUACACUGACAGACGUUUCAGGACUUCCCGGUGUGCCACUGCAAUGAAGAAGAUCCCGUAUGCCUCAACGAAGAUCCCACAUGCUGCAUCUAAG